rnacentral:rRNA from 1 species
AUGGGGUUUCGUGACCCCCAUCAGUUCAAUCUUGCGCUACUCGGAAAGCACGGUUGGCGCUUUAUGACUAACCCUAAUUCUUUGUGUGCAAGAGUAAUGAAGGGCCGUUACUUUCCUGACACAGAUUUCUUGCAUGCAACCGUUCCAAAAUCAGCGUCAGCUACUUGGCGAGCUAUCAUUGCUGGGAGGGAAGCAUUGCAAGCGGGCCUUAUCAAAAGAGUGGGAACUGGAAGUUCCAUUCACGUGUGGCAUGACAAGUGGAUUCCCAGAACUAUAUCCAUGUCACCAUUGCUGCAACCUCCAAACACCACGGUUCAGACAGUCUCGCACCUCAUCGAUUACGAGAACUGGACGUGGAGAUAG